AGUGUCAUAGUCAAGGGGGCUUGCAAGCUUUUCCUGCUUAACCAAUGCAUGGCGCGUGAGGGCUGUUAUGAUAUUUUCUGGUGUGCGCAGGGAUUCAAACUCAUUUAUUUCCUGGUUGCCUUUUCCAAGGUGUGACGAGUAUCUAUGAAGGAGACCCAUGAUUUCUGUAGCUUCAUCUUGCACAGGGGGCUGUAAGGUGUCAUGUAGGCCAGCUAGUCUGGCUGCUCUGUAUGCUUGGAGCAGGAUUUGUAGGCGGUCAGGGGUGAGGAUGCCUGCACAUUUCCCUCUGGUGUCAUAGAUGCAUGCUGCUUGGGUGGCAGUUGCAAGGGGAAUUUU
rnacentral:lncRNA from 1 species